rnacentral:rRNA from 1 species
AACGAACGCUGGCGGCAUGCCUAACACAUGCAGGUCGAACGAGACCUUCGGGUCUAGUGGCGCACGGGUGCGUAACGCGUGGGAACCUGCCCUUAGGUUCGGAAUAACUCCCCGAAAGGGGUGCUAAUACCGGAUAAUUUCUUCGGACCAAAGAUUUAUCGCCUUUGGAUGGGCCCGCGUUGGAUUAGCUAGUUGGUAGGGUAAAAGCCUACCAAGGCGACGAUCCAUAGCUGGUCUGAGAGGAUGAUCAGCCACACUGGGACUGAGACACGGCCCAGACUCCUACGGGAGGCAGCAGUGGGGAAUAUUGGACAAGGGGCGAAAGCCUGAUCCAGCAAUGCCGCGUGAGUGAUGAAGGCCUUAGGGUUGUAAAGCUCUUUUACCCGGGAUGAUAAUGACAGUACCGGGAGAAUAAGCACCGGCUAACUCCGUG